rnacentral:rRNA from 1 species
ACCAGCACGUUAUGGUGGGCACUCUAAGGAGACUGCCGGUGACAAACCGGAGGAAGGUGGGGAUGACGUCAAGUCAUCAUGGCCCUUACGGCCUGGGCUACACACGUGCUACAAUGGCCGGCACAACGGGAAGCGAGUUCGCGAGGACGAGCGGAUCCCUCAAAGCCGGUCGCAGUUCGGAUUGAAGUCUGCAACUCGACUUCAUGAAGCUGGAAUCGCUAGUAAUCGUGGAUCAGCCAAGCCGCGGUGAAUACGUUCCCGGGCCUU